GUGAGAAGGGUUAGGGGGAGAAACCAUAGACAACUUCCAACACCACAGCAGAGAAUGAGGACCCAGGGGCAACCUCCAACAUCACAACAUAACCAAAAUGAAAUUGCAAGUCAAGGACAAAGAGAGGGCAUAAGCACAUUUGGAAUGGGAUUUAAUCAAACUUCUACAAAUGUGACAACAACCAACCCACCUGGAAUU